CACCAUUGUGGAUGCUCUAAAGUUUUAAGCAGUACCACUCUCUCUCGCCACUCUCUCUCGACUCCGGUGAGCGGCCGCCAUGAAUCGCCGCCUCCCUCUGGCGCGACGAGGUCAGCGCCUGUUCGUCCUCCUCCUCUCCUUCCCUUUUGUUAGGGGUGAGCAAACCCAAACCGAACCCGCUAGACCGACCCGGACCGACGGGUUCGGUCCGGACCGGACCGACCCAAUAUGCAUAUACGGUCCGGUCCGGGUCUAUUUUUUAGGACCGAACAUUUAUCGGGUCGGUCCGGGUCUUAACCCGCUCGAACCCGCCGAACCCGGACCGACCCAUACCUUUUAUAAAAUAAUUAUUUAAUUUAUAUAUUUAUAAUAAUAUUACCAAAUAAAAUAAAUUUGAACUAAUAUCCCUAAGUAGAGUGUAGAAUCUGUAACCCCACCCCAAUAAUUUGAUAUAAUAUCUUGAAUAUAUGAGUUCUCAAUUCUUGAGCUAUUCUUUGUUAUUUCAAAUGGAAUUGUGAUUCAGUCUCUCUUAACCACGCUGUAAGCAUAAAUAAUAAAUAUUUGGAUUAGAUUCUUGCUUUGCUAAAUGGCAUGAACCAAGGAAGCUUGAUAGUGUGAGUGUUAUGGGAUAAAUUUUAGAACUAAGGCAACUAAAUAGAGUGUAAAAAAGUAAAUAUAAAAAUUUUAAAUUUCGGUGGGUCGGACCCGGACCGAACCGAACCCGAAGGUUCGGUUCGGUCCGGUCCUGGGUCGGUCCGUUCUUAAUCUUCGGUCCGGGUCGGUCCAAGUUUUUAAAAUUUUCGGUCCGUCAAACCCGGCGGGUCGGUCCGGGUCGGUCCGGGUCCGACCCGCUGCUCACCCCUACCUUUUGUGCCCUAUUUCUUCCCCAAGAACAAAAUCCCCAAUUUCUAGGGUUUUCAGCCUCCCUUUCCUCUCUGAAUUUUGCCCCUCUUGCGAGUCCCGCCACUGCCGCCGCCUCGCACAGCUGCUCCGUGCCUCAAGUAACACCUUUUUUCUCUCUCUCUCUCAAGAUCUAUUUCUCUCUCCCUCUCUCCGCUCUCCCAGUCGAUCUCCAUC
rnacentral:lncRNA from 1 species